rnacentral:rRNA from 1 species
UACGGAGGAGGCAAGCGUUAUCCGGAAUUAUUGGGCGUAAAGCGUCCGUAGGUGGCUAGUCAAGUCUGCGGUCAAAGACUGGGGCUUAACCCUGGAAAGGCCGUGGAAACUGACGAGCUAGAGUGCAGUGGGGGUAGAGGGAAUUCCCGGUGUAGCGGUGAAAUGCGUAGAGCUCGGGAAGAACAUCGGUGGCGAAAGCGCUCUACUGGACUGCAACUGACACUCAGGGACGAAAGCUAGGGGAGCGAAUGGG